rnacentral:rRNA from 1 species
AGUGGGGAAUUUUGGACAAUGGGCGAAAGCCUGAUCCAGCAAUGCCGCGUGCAGGAUGAAGGCCUUCGGGUUGUAAACUGCUUUUGUACGGAACGAAAAAGCUUCUCCUAAUACGAGAGGCCCAUGACGGUACCGUAAGAAUAAGCACCGGCUAACUACGUGCCAGCAGCCGCGGUAAUACGUAGGGUGCGAGCGUUAAUCGGAAUUACUGGGCGUAAAGCGUGCGCAGGCGGUUAUGUAAGACAGAUGUGAAAUCCCCGGGCUCAACCUGGGAACUGCAUUUGUGACUGCAUGGCUAGAGUACGGUAGAGGGGGAUGGAAUUCCGCGUGUAGCAGUGAAAUGCGUAGAUAUGCGGAGGAACACCGAUGGCGAAGGCAAUCCCCUGGACCUGUACUGACGCUCAUGCACGAAAGCGUGGGGAGCAAA